UACGAAGGGUGCAAACGUUGCUCGGAAUCAUUGGGCGUAAAGCGCACGUAGGCGGCUUCGCAAGUCGGAUGUGAAAUACCUAGGCUCAACCAAGGACGUGCAUCCGAAACUGCGAGGCUUGAGUACAGAAGAGGAUCGCGGAAUUCCCGGUGUAGAGGUGAAAUUCGUAGAUAUCGGGAGGAACACCAGUGGCGAAGGCGGCGAUCUGGGCUGAUACUGACGCUGAGGUGCGAAAGCGUGGGGAGCAAACAGG
rnacentral:rRNA from 1 species